rnacentral:rRNA from 1 species
UACGUAGGGGGCUAGCGUUGUCCGGAAUCAUUGGGCGUAAAGAGCGCGUAGGCGGCCAGAUAAGUCCGGUGUGAAAGUCAAAGGCUCAACCUUUGAAUGCCGCUGGAAACUGUCUGGCUAGAGUCCGGAAGGGGCGAGUGGAAUUCCUGGUGUAGCGGUGAAAUGCGCAGAUAUCAAGAGGAACACCUGCGGCGAAGGCGGGUUGCUGGGCCGACACUGACGCUGAGGCGCGAAAGCUAGGGGAGCGAACGGG